GCCGGUAGUGGUGGCGCACGCCGGUAGGAUUUGCUGAAGGAGGCAGAGGCAGGAGGAUCACGAGUUCGAGGCCAGCUUGGGCUACACAUUUUUUU
rnacentral:snRNA from 1 species